AGAGUUUGAUCCUGGCUCAGGAUGAACGCUGGCGGCGCGCCUAACACAUGCAAGUCGAACGGCACCCCUCUCCGGAGGGAAGCGAGUGGCGAACGGCUGAGUAACACGUGGAGAACCUGCCCCCUCCCCCGGGAUAGCCGCCCGAAAGGACGGGUAAUACCGGAUACCCCGGGGUGCCGCAUGGCACCCCGGCUAAAGCCCCGACGGGAGGGGAUGGCUCCGCGGCCCAUCAGGUAGACGGCGGGGUGACGGCCCACCGUGCCGACAACGGGUAGCCGGGUUGAGAGACCGACCGGCCAGAUUGGGACUGAGACACGGCCCAGACUCCUACGGGAGGCAGCAGUGGGGAAUCUUGCGCAAUGGGGGGAACCCUGACGCAGCGACGCCGCGUGCGGGACGGAGGCCUUCGGGUCGUAAACCGCUUUCAGCAGGGAAGAGUCAAGACUGUACCUGCAGAAGAAGCCCCGGCUAACUACGUGCCAGCAGCCGCGGUAAUACGUAGGGGGCGAGCGUUAUCCGGAUUCAUUGGGCGUAAAGCGCGCGUAGGCGGCCCGGCAGGCCGGGGGUCGAAGCGGGGGGCUCAACCCCCCGAAGCCCCCGGAACCUCCGCGGCUUGGGUCCGGUAGGGGAGGGUGGAACACCCGGUGUAGCGGUGGAAUGCGCAGAUAUCGGGUGGAACACCGGUGGCGAAGGCGGCCCUCUGGGCCGAGACCGACGCUGAGGCGCGAAAGCUGGGGGAGCGAACAGGAUUAGAUACCCUGGUAGUCCCAGCCGUAAACGAAUGGACGCUAGGUGUGGGGGGACGAUCCCCCCGUGCCGCAGCCAACGCAUUAAGCGUCCCGCCUGGGGAGUACGGCCGCAAGGCUAAAACUCAAAGGAAUUGACGGGGGCCCGCACAAGCAGCGGAGCAUGUGGCUUAAUUCGAAGCAACGCGGAGAACCUUACCAGGGCUUGACAUAUGGGUGAAGCGGGGGAGACCCCGUGGCCGAGAGGAGCCCAUACAGGUGGUGCAUGGCUGUCGUCAGCUCGUGUCGUGAGAUGCUGGGUUAAGUCCCGCAACGAGCGCAACCCUUAUUGCCAGUUACUACGUAAGAGGACUCUGGCGAGACUGCCGUUGACAAAACGGAGGAAGGUGGGGAUGACGUCAAAUCAUCAUGCCCUUUAUGACCUGGGCUACACACGUACUACAAUGGCGUUUAACAAAGAGAAGCAAGACCGCGAGGUGGAGCAAAACUCAAAAACAACGUCUCAGUUCAGAUUGCAGGCUGCAACUCGCCUGCAUGAAGUCGGAAUUGCUAGUAAUCGCGGAUCAGAAUGCCGCGGUGAAUACGUUCCCGGGUCUUGCACUCACCGCCCGUCA
rnacentral:rRNA from 1 species